GAGCGGUAAGGCCUUUCGGGGUACACGAGCGGCGAACGGGUGAGUWACACGUGGGUGAUCUGCCCUGCACUUCGGGAUAAGCCUGGGAAACUGGGUCUAAUACCGGAUAUGACCUCCUAUCGCAUGGUGGGUGGUGGAAAGAUUUAUCGGUGCAGGAUGGGCCCGCGGCUAUCAGCUUGUUGGUGGGGUAAUGGCCUACCAAGGCGACGACGGGUAGCCGACCUGAGAGGGUGACCGGCCACACUGGGACUGAGACACGGCCCAGACUCCUACGGGAGGCAGCAGUGGGGAAUAUUGCACAAUGGGCGAAAGCUGAUGCAGCGACGCCGCGUGAGGGAUGACGGCCUUCGGGUUGUAAACCUCUUUCAGCAGGGACGAAGCGCAAGUGACGGUACCUGCAGAAGAAGCACCGGCUAACUACGUGCCADYAGCCGCGGUAAUACGUAGGGUGCAAGCGUUGUCCGGAAUUACUGGGCGUAAAGAGUUCGUAGGCGGUUUGUCGCGUCGUUUGUGAAAACCAGCAGCUCAACUGCUGGCUUGCAGGCGAUACGGGCAGACUUGAGUACUGCAGGGGAGACUGGAAUUCCUGGUGUAGCGGUGAAAUGCGCAGAUAUCAGGAGGAA
rnacentral:rRNA from 1 species